rnacentral:rRNA from 1 species
GACGAACGCUGGCGGCGUGCUUAACACAUGCAAGUCGAACGGAAAGGCCCUGCUUUUGUGGGGUGCUCGAGUGGCGAACGGGUGAGUAACACGUGAGUAACCUGCCCUUGACUUUGGUAUAACUUCAGGAAACUGGGGCUAAUACCGGAUAGGAUCUCCUGCUGCAUGGUGGGGGUUGGAAAUUUUCGGCGGUUGGGGAUGGAGUGGCGGCUUAUGGGCUUGUUGGUGGGGGAGUGGCUUACCAAGGCAUUGAAGGGUAGGCGGCAUGGGAGGGGGACCGGGGACAAGGGGACUGAGAGAGGGAGCAGACGCGUACGGGAGGCAGCAGGGGGGAGUAUUGCACAAUGAGAGGAAGCCUGAUGAAGCAACGCCGCGGGCGGGAUGACGGCCUUCGGGUUGUGAACCGCAUUAGCCUGUGACGAAGCGGGAGUGACGGUAAUGGGUAAAGAAGCACCGGCUAACUACGUG